AUGCGCAGCUGUGGUCAAGCUGCCUGCAGGUGUCUUCCCCAGAAAUGGCAUGUUCCCCGAUACGCACAACGUCCGGCCACUGCAACGCCUCCCUGCCUCGCAGUCAAGCUCCUCGGGUACACCAUAGGUGCUGUCAAUCUCCUAAUUCCUUUUUCAGGAUCUGAAUCUCCUAAAUUUUUUUCUUUAACCAUUGAUCAUGGAGGAUUCCAGUCUACAGAGGACAGAGAUUUUGGCGGGCUACUAAUCUGCACCUUGGAGAGGUUAACUUUAGAAACUGAAUGUUCAAGAAACCACUUUUAUGACCUCAUGGCUCAUUCCCUUGUUCAUGAACAUGAUGGUCUACAAAAUUUUAGCCAGCAGUGUACAUAG
rnacentral:rRNA from 1 species